rnacentral:rRNA from 1 species
AGAGUUUGAUCCUGGCUCAGAUUGAACGCUGGCGGCAUGCCUUACACAUGCAAGUCGAACGGCAGCAUGAUCUAGCUUGCUAGAUUGAUGGCGAGUGGCGAACGGGUGAGUAAUACAUCGGAACGUGCCCUGUAGUGGGGGAUAACUAGUCGAAAGAUUAGCUAAUACCGCAUACGACCUGAGGGUGAAAGUGGGGGACCGCAAGGCCUCAUGCUAUAGGAGCGGCCGAUGUCUGAUUAGCUAGUUGGUGAGGUAAAGGCUCACCAAGGCGACGAUCAGUAGCUGGUCUGAGAGGACGAUCAGCCACACUGGGACUGAGACACGGCCCAGACUCCUACGGGAGGCAGCAGUGGGGAAUUUUGGACAAUGGGCGAAAGCCUGAUCCAGCAAUGCCGCGUGUGUGAAGAAGGCCUUCGGGUUGUAAAGCACUUUUGUCCGGAAAGAAAUGGCUCUGGUUAAUACCUGGGGUCGAUGACGGUACCGGAAGAAUAAGGACCGGCUAACUACGUGCCAGCAGCCGCGGUAAUACCCAGGGUCCAAGCGUUAAUCGGAAUUACUGGGCGUAAAGCGUGCGCAGGCGGUUGUGCAAGACCGAUGUGAAAUCCCCGAGCUUAACUUGGCAAUUGCAU